GACGAACGCUGGCGGCGUGCCUAAUACAUGCAAGUAGAACGCUGAAGGAGGAGCUUACUUCUCUGGAUGAGUUGCGAACGGGUGAGUAACGCGUAGGUAACCUGCCUGGUAGCGGGGGAUAACUAUUGGAAACGAUAGCUAAUACCGCAUAAGAGUAGAUGUUGCAUGACAUUUACUUAAAGGGUGCAAUUGCACCACUACCAGAUAGACCUGCGUUGUAUUAGCUAGUUGGUGGGGUAACGGCUUACCAAGGCGACGAUACAUAGCCGACCUGAGAGGGUGAUCGGCCACACUGGGACUGGGACACGGCCCAGACUCCUACGGGAGGCAGCAGUAGGGAAUCUUCGGCAAUGGACGGAAGUCUGACCGAGCAACGCCGCGUGAGUGAAGAAGGUUUUCGGAUCGUAAAGCUCUGUUGUAAGAGAAGAACGAGUGUGAGAGUGGAAAGUUCACACUGUGGCGGUAUCUUACCAGAAAGGGACGGCUAACUACGUGCCAGCCGCCGCGGUAA
rnacentral:rRNA from 1 species